AUGAAUAAUAUGUUUCCAUCAGUAUGUGCUAGUGACCAUCCCCGACUGACUAGGCCUGAAAGAAAGUUAGCUCAUGACUAGAAUACACUAUUAACCAAUCUGCGCUAGUAAUUGCCCUAUUAGAGAGCUGGAAGGAGACUAGAUCCUGAGUCCAUGUGAUCAAUCAGACUAAAGAACAACAAAAUUGAUGAAAUACAAUUCAUAUUCAAGUAAAUCAUAUUAUAUUCAAUCCAUCAAUUUACAAAUCAUUUUCAUAUUGGAGAUAGGAUCAUAAUAAGUUGGGUCAG
rnacentral:lncRNA from 1 species